ensembl:lncRNA
UUUGUUCUUGUGGCAAUUAUAUUAAUGUCGGGUAAAUUCAAAAUCCGGGUCUCAAUCAAUGAGGAUCAUCUACUGCCUGAGCCAGGCACUAUACAAAAUGCGGGGCAUACAAAGAAAUACAAAAGAUAGUCCCUUCCCAGAGGAGCUCACUUCCUAGUCUCAAUGAGGUCUUUUGGAAUGAUUUUGGAUCACUGAGCUGCAGAGAAGAAUUAAAUCUAUCAUAGGUUAUCAUUACAUAAUGUUGUUUCUGUAUAUGAUGUUCUCCUGGUUCUGCUCACUUCACUCAGCAUCAGGUUAUGUACCAUGUACCUGAUAAUCCUGUGAGUUGGAUAUAAUAUUCCUUGAAAUUUUCCUUUUAGGAUCUCAGGAAAAGAUUGGUGUAUUCUUUACAUUAUUGUUUUGCUCUCUGAUAAUAAGCUAUCAGGGCAGUUUUCCUUAAUAAUUUCUUGAAAGAUACUGUCCAGUAUCAUUUUUUGGUCAUGGCUUUCAGGUAGUCCAAUAAUUUCUAAAUUCUUCUGGAUCUAUUUUAAAUGUCAGUUAUUUUUCCAAUGAAAUAUUUUACAUUUUCUUUUAUUUUCUUAUUUUGGGGGGAUUUGUUUGAUUCUUAAUGUUCUAUGGAGACAUUAGUUUCCAUUUGCUUAGUUCCAAUCUUUAAUGGAUUAUUUUCUUCAGAUAGCUUUUUUUACCUCCUUUUCCUCUGACCAAUUUUAUUUAUAAAGGAGUUAUUCAUUGAAUUUUUUUUCCAUUUGUCUGAUCCUAUUUUUAAAUUUUUCUUAAGUUUUUGAUUCUUUUUCCAAGCUGUUUACUUCUUUUUCAUGAUUUUCCUACAUAACUUAUCUCUUUACAAAGUUUUCUUUUACCUCUCUUACCUGAUUUUUAAAAUCCUUUUUGAGCUUGAAUCCAAUUCAAAUUCUCCUUUGAAGUGAUAGGCAUUUUACCAUUGAUGUCUUCUUUUGAGUUUGUAUUUUGAUCUUCCCUUUCACUAUACUAGCUUUAUAUGGUCAGGGUUCUUUUUGGGUUUUGCACAUCUUUUAAAAAUUAAGCUCUGCUUCUAGGAGACAGUGCCCCAAGCUUUUUUUUUUUUUUUUUUUUUUUUUUAAACUUUAGGAGAGGGGCCUUAUUACUUUCUGUGCUGGGUCCAGAGAUGUUGCUGGCUUGCCCACUAUACUGGACUGGCCCUGCCUAGUUAUAUCUGUUAUGAUAAUAUGAUGAGUUUUCUUUUUUUUUUUUUUUGGCAGGGGGUUGCAAUUUGCCUUCUGCUCUGGGGCUGAAAUCUUUACAACUGAUGUGCCACUAGACCACUGAGAUAGGACUAAGGGACCUUGGUAGUUGAUCUUUGCUGCCUCUAAGAGCUUCCCACUGGACUUCCUGCCCUGUGCCAAUGUUGAGCACAAACCCCCCUUUUACCCAAGUGGGACUGACCUUUCAUUAAGUCCUAAGUUAUUUUAUGCUGGAAAAUUGUUUCACUGUCUCUUUCUGUGGAUUCUGUCGCUCCAGAAUCCAUUUAGAUGCUUUAUCUUAACAUUGUUUCUGAGGGAAACUGGGGAAGUACAGGCAGCUUCCUAGCUCCUCUCCAUCAUCUUCCAGACUUAUUCUUUAGGAAGAUCAUUUUGACAGCUGAAUGAAUUAUGGACUAGAGCAGGGAAGGGUUCAGUGGCAAGGAAAUUAACCAGCAAACUAUUACAAUAAUCCAGGUGGGGGUGGUGCGGUCAAUGUCAAAGUAGAGAAAGGAGCAUAUACAAAAAAAGUUAUAGAAAUAAAAUCUAUAGGCAUUGCUGGCUUUGGAUAUGAGGUGUGAGAGAAUAAGAAGAAUUACACUUAAUUAAAGGACUUGAAGAAUGGUGUUACUUUACCAAUAGACUAUUUUUACUGAAGCUUUUCACUGGAUCCUCCCACCUUUUUGGACAUUUUUUAUAUCUGUGUGGAUCCCAACUCCUCCACAACUCCACAUCUGGAUGAUUUGUUCCAUGCUUUCUCAUAAUGCCUCUUUAAAAGAUCUACUAAAUACAGUAUUUCUAAUGCAUUAUUAGCAUGUCCUGGUUCAGCACUGUGGCUGUCCCUUUCUUUUCCCUCCCCCUAGUUUAUACUUGGAUUUGUCAACUUAAAUACCUUUCAGUGAUGAUACUGCUUAUGAAAUUUUUUGUGCGUUUCAUCCCUGAUAAUGCUACAACUUAGACUCAUCUUGCCCUACUCCAUUCUCCUUUGCCCAAUUUCCAGACUUCAAAAAAUUUCCACAUUCUAUGAUUCACACACAUAUAACAUCUAUUUCACAUCUUGAUGGACUAACAAUGUAGAAAUACUUCAAAUAUCUGAUGGCCUAAAAGAGGAAAAUGAGGAGAAAUAUAACAAACUAUGUAAACAGUAUCAUUUACCAUUGUAGCAACUAUUUGUUAUUCUUGGAUUUAAAAACACCUGCAGUCUUGUCUAAAUGGUUACUUCAACUCUAUAGUUUUGUCCAAAAGAACUUGUUUAUUUUCUAGCCCAUGAACAGAAAAUGUCUUCUCAUUCCAAUAACAAACUUGUUAAUUCCAUGACAAAAGUCUCUCUUUUCUCCCUUGAAUGAUUCCCCUUUCUUUACCUUUCCUCUCCUAUGAAAGAUAUUACUUAUCUUCUUUGAACUGCUGAAAAGUCUUGCCAGUUAGCUGUGUAUUCUUAAAUGGACCUAAAAAAGUUAUUAAAAAAAAAAAAAAACUAAAUCUGUCCCCCAGAAACUAUGAACAAUUUUCUUAGCAUGCUAAUCAUUGGAAUCCCUGUAAUAGGUACAUCUUUUUCAAGAGUAGUCAUUCAUUUCCAUCUAGAGAAUUCUCUCAACAAAUCAUUGGGGAACACUUCAUAAAAAAAUAGGCUUUUUUUUUUAAUCUCAUGCGUGAGAUAAAAAUUAAAGAUGCUAAGUGCUUUACAAAAAGCAAUCCAGCUUGCUCUCUUCCUUACAUUCAAUUCUACAGGUAUAUUGUAUAAAGAGAAUGUUUGUCCAAGUUCUAUCAUAAUAUAGAUACCAGAUAUUUUCCUGCACUUGAUUUUUAACAUAAGAAUUUGUAGGCCAAUUUCUUGAAUGGUCAUUUAUCUUCUUUAAAAGAGGAUUUUUUUACAUUCCAAAGAAUACAGCACAAAGUUAACAUCAAAUGCCACAAUGUCAAUUAUAAACAAUAUGAACUAGUGUUAUUAAUCAACAUUUGUCAUAUUGAUCUGAUAAUAAAUUAAAAAUAUGUUGAAUCACAUUCUACUAGUAAAUCAGCACUUUACUAAAAAUUGGUAUAAUAGAAAAAUACUUGCAGAUUGUUCAAACAAAAGACUGACCAUGUCAACCCAAAUAGCAUAAAAUUUGAUAUUUGUACAUAUGCUUAUUGAGGUAAAAACCUCAAGUUUCAUUAAUUGAUUAUAGUAUAUAAUAUAUAUUAUAUAUAAUAAUUAUAAUAUAUAACAUAGUAAGACAGUUUCUUAAGAUAAUUUUUAUUGAAUCCAGACUUCAAUUCAAAUCUAACAGUGUACCUACCUUGUUCAUUUGUGAAAUCAAAAUUCUGUACCUUAUGUUCACCACAGUUCUUUGCUUCUUUUCUGUGAGCAUGAACACAUGUUCAAAUGUGUAUUAUAUAAAAUAUAUAUUUGUGUGUAUAUGUGUGUAUAUAUAUUUAUAGAAAUUUUUUUGUCAUAUCUUAAAUUCCAAGUUGUCUCCCUCCCAGUUUUGCAUUAGUGAAGGCUAACAUUUGAUGUUGAAUAGGAAAUCUCCGUAUUAUUAGUAAAAGUUCAUUUCAAAUCAUUGUAAGAAUGUGACUUUCCCCAUGUGAACCUAAUCCCCAUGUGAACCUAAUCAAGGUAUGAUGUGACUUCUGUGAGAACUUGACCAUUCCCUAACCCAUAAGAGCAUAUGUUUUCGUUCCUUCUCCUUUGAGAACUUGACCGUUCUCUCACCCAUAGGAGUAUAUGUUUUAGCUCCUUCUCCACUGAGAACUUGACCAUUUUUUAACUUAUAAGUGGGGAACGUACCACAUGUGCUUUAGCUCUAACUACAUGAUUCCAGGAACUCGCCACUCCUUGGAACAUUGCUGUUGAUAAGGACUGGCCCCCUUGUUGAUGCAAUACUUGACUAUAACCACAUGGAGCCCUUGUUAGUACUUCCCUGUCUUAUAUGAUGUCUUAUUUGGCUCAAAGCCUUCUUUGUCCUGACUCCUAUAAAAGGCCGAUAAAGCAUUCUCUAUCUAAAACCUCACCUAUGGAGAUGAUGAUCUGUCUAGGAUUUUCCCAUUCAGGACUUAAAGGCUGAAUUACCAGGGUUAUUCCAGCCACUGCAAAUAAAUUAGAGUCAGAGCUCCCCUGAUCGGUGAUGUAUUCUGUCUGCUAUCCUAAUCAUAAUUCUCAUUAUUCUUUGUCUUUUAUGUAUUAUUUGCUGUUAUUAGUUGUUAUUGUAAGCAUUCUAUUCUGUGUAUUGUGUAAUUAAAUUUUACUUUCACUUUGAGUCAGAGAGCAUUAUUUAUAGGAGCAGAUCUGCACUUUUCCCUAAAAUCACAGAACAGAUAUAUAUAUGGAACUCUAUAUUUCAAGUGUGCCUUCUUUUAUUUUGCUUCAGAGAUAAAUUCAUUUUUUUUCCAAAUUGAAGAAUUGUGCUAAACAUGCCUCACGGAAAUCUAUCAAUGCCAUUUUUCCAAUAACAUGUGUUUACAUCAUGUCUAUAUGUCACAUUUUGAUAAUUCUCACAAUAUUUCAAACUUUUAAAUUAUAUCUUUUAUGGUGAUCUGUGACCAAUGAUCUUUGAUGUUACUGUGGUAGUUGUUUGGGGGUGUCACAAAUCAUGUCCAUACUAGGUAAACUUAAUCAAUGUUAUAUGUGUUCUGACUGCUCCACCAUCUGGCAGUUGUCCAUUUCUCUCCCUCUCCUCAGGAUUCUCUGAUCCAAGACACAACAAUAUUGAAGAAUAUAUCAUAAAUUUAGUUGAUAAAACAGCAGCAGGGUUUGAGAGGACUGACUCCAAUUCUGAAAACAGUUCUACUAUGGAUAAAAUGCAAUUAAAUAGCAUUGCAUGCUACAGAGGAAUCUUUCAUGAAAGGAAGAGUCAAAAUGUGGAAAUAUGUUUAUAUAACAUGUAUAACCUACAUCAGAUUGCUUGCCACCUUGGGGAAGGAAUAUGGAAGAGAUGGAGGGAGAAAAAAUUUUGGACUCAAAAUUUUAUAAAAAAAUUAAUGUUGGAAACUAUCUUUACAUGUAAUUGGAAAAAAUAAAAUAUUAUAGAGGCAAUUGAUGAGGCAAACUUUUGUCUUAUUUUAAGAAGUUCGCACAGCUAUCCCAACCUUCAGCAACCACAACCAUGAUCAGUCAGCAUCCAUUAACAUCUAGAUGAGAUCCUCUACCAGCAAAUAGAUUAUGAUUUGCUAAAAACUCAG